GUUCUUGUAGUCAAAUUGUCAUGACGGCAGCUUUUCAGGCUGUAGAUUCCGGAUCGAGGCCGGGCGAGAAUU
rnacentral:tRNA from 1 species